rnacentral:rRNA from 1 species
GACGAACGCUGGCGGCGUGCUUAACACAUGCAAGUCGAACGGAAAGGCCCUGCUUUUGUGGGGUGCUCGAGUGGCGAACGGGUGAGUAACACGUGAGUAACCUGCCCUUGACUUUGGGAUAACUUCAGGAAACUGGGGCUAAUACCGGAUAGGAGCUCCUGCUGCAUGGUGGGGGUUGGAAAGUUUCGGCGGUUGGGGAUGGACUCGCGGCUUAUCAGCUUGUUGGUGGGGUAGUGGCUUACCAAGGCUUUGACGGGUAGCCGGCCUGGGAGGGUGGCCGGCCACAUUGGGACUGAGGUACGGCCCAGACUCCUACGGGAGGCAGCAGUGGGGAAUAUUGCACAAUGGGCGGAAGCCUGAUGCAGCAACGCCGCGUGCGGGAUGACGGCCUUCGGGUUGUAAACCGCUUUCGCCUGUGACGAAGCGUGAGUGACGGUAAUGGGUAAAGAAGCACCGGCUAACUACGUG